GACGAACGCUGGCGGCGUGCUUAACACAUGCAAGUCGAACGGAAAGGCCCUGCUUUUGUGGGGUGCUCGAGUGGCGAACGGGUGAGUAACACGUGAGUAACCUGCCCUUGACUUUGGGAUAACUUCAGGAAACUGGGGCUAAUACCGGAUAGGAGCUCCUGCUGCAUGGUGGGGGUUGGAAAGUUUCGGCGGUUGGGGAUGGACUCGCGGCUUAUCAGCUUGUUGGUGGGGUAGUGGCUUACCAAGGCUUUGACGGGUAGCCGGCCUGAGAGGGUGACCGGCCACAUUGGGGCUUAGGAUCCGCCCAGGCUCCUUCGGGGGGCAGGAGGGGGGGAUAUUGGACCAAUGGCGGAAGCCUUAUUCAGCAACGCCGCGGUCGGGAUGGCGGCCUUCGGGUUGUAAACCGCUUUCGCCUUGUGCGGAGCGUGAGGGGCGGUUAUUGGUUAAGAAACACCGGGUAACUACGGU
rnacentral:rRNA from 1 species